UGCCGAAGCCCAGAGAUCACUGAUCUA
rnacentral:piRNA from 1 species